CCUACCCAUGUUUUCAGUUUCUGACUCGUGAGUAAGAGAAAUGAAGAAUUUUGAAGCCAAAUUGUCGACUUUGGUUAAGCAGGGGAUUUUAUGGAAUAUUUGGUAUGAUUAAGUUUCGGUGGAUACGAGUUUUAUAGAAAAAGCCGUGGAGCUUCUAGAUGAAUCACAGUCAUUAAGUGUGGACAAUUCAAUCCUUAAGCUCAUUUACAAAUACGACACCAUUUUGAAACACAAUUCUCACUCCCAUUUUAAGCAUGUUGCUAUGAAGAAUGAGAAACACUAGUUCAUUCCCUAAAGCUACACCUGUUCCAAUAGCCAAUAGUGGACAAAGAUCAAGCUGUUCUACCCAUUGUAGAGGAAGGGUCAGUCAUGCUAUCGCCCAUAACAAGGGGGCUAAGGAAUAGACAACACUCGAAGUACCAUUGUGGGUUAUCUGUAAUUAUCGCCAAAUCAAACAUGGUAGAGAAUCCUAGAAGGAAAAGGAGUCUCACUGCAAUUUCUUUGCUUGGUUUGACAUGGUCUUUGACAUCAAUAACAAGAAUGCUAUCAUGGAUGAUAUUGCUGAUGCUAAUCAGUUGGAUGAUGUGGUUGUUGGAUUUCAAGGGAAAUUGAUGGAGCUAUAGAAGAGAAUGGUUGCAUAAGAGAAUUCUCAAAAAAAAAAAAGUAAUAAAUAGAGAUUAGAAAAAUAGAUUUAAUAAUAUAGCCUUACGAUUGGUUUCUUUGUGUUAGCUUGUGCUUUUAUUGUGAAUUACUCUUCACAAUGAUAGACUUAUUAUGUUAAGUCCAAAUUUAUGAAUGAAUGAAUGAAACUUUUUUUGUUGUUA